rnacentral:misc_RNA from 1 species
GAUGAAGAACGCAGCGAAAUGCGAUAAGUAAUGUGAAUUGCAGAAUUCAGUGAAUCAUCGAAUCUUUGAACGCACAUUGCGCCCGCCAGUAUUCUGGCGGGCAUGCCUGUUCGAGCGUCAUUUCAACCAUCAAGCCCCCGGCUUGUGUUGGGGACCUGCGGCUGCCGCAGGCCCUGAAAAGCAGUGGCGGGCUCGCUGUCACACCGAGCGUAGUAGAAUACAUCUCGCUCUGGGCGUGCUGCGGGUUCCGGCCGUUAAACCACCUUCAUAACCCAAGGUUGACCUCGGAUCAGGUAGGAAGACCCGCUGAACUUAAGCAUAUCAAUAAGCGGAGGA